AAAGCUCGUAGUCGGAUUUUGGGCGCGUGUGAACUGUCAGCCUCUGGUUGGACGGUGCGCGCGUGCCUUUCUGCUUGGGAGCCCCAUGGUGGUUAAUUCUGUCGUGGUGGGUCACAGGCCGUUUACUUUGAAAAAAUUAGAGUGUUCAAAGCAGGCUGUUGCUUGAAUAGAUUAGCAUGGAAUAAUGGAAUAGGACCUUGGUGCUAUUUCGUUGGUUAUGGGACUGGGGUAAUGAUUAAUAGGGACAGUUGGGGCCGUUCAUAUUUCGUUGUCAGAGGUGAAAUUCUUGGAUUUACGAACGAUGAACUUGUGCGAAAGCAUUCGGCAAGGAUGUUUUCAUUGAUCAAGAACGAAAGUUAGGGGAUCGAAGACGAUCAGAUACCGUCGUAGUCUUAACCAUAAACUAUGCCAACUAGGGAUCAUUGAGUGUCAAUUUACGACCUCAUUGGCACCUUGUGAGAAAUCAAAGUUUUUGGGUUCCGGGGGGAGUAUGGUCGCAAGGCUGAAACUUAAAGGAAUUGACGGAAGGGCACCACCAGGAGUGGAGCCUGCGGCUUAAUUUGACCUCAAACACAGGGGAAACUUACCAGGUCCAGACAUAGUCAGGGAUGGGACAGAUUUGAAAAGCUCUUUCUUUGAUUCUAUGGGGUGGGUGGGUGCAUGGCCGUUCUUUAGUUGGUGGAGUGAUUUUGUCUGGUUAAUUCCCGUUAACGAACGAGAACCUCAGCCUGCUAACUAGCGAUGCCCAUUUUUAAUGGGUAGCCCCGCUUCUUAGAGGGACUAUUCGUGUUCAACGAAUGGAAGUUUGAGGCAAUAACAGGUCUGUGAUGCCCUUAGAUGUUCUGGGCCGCACGCGCGCUACACUGAUGGAUGCAACGAGCUCUACCCUUGACCGAAAGGCCCGGGUAAACUUGUCAAAUCCAUCGUGAUGGGGA
rnacentral:rRNA from 1 species